GGGCACUUGGCACAGUGGUAGCGCGCACGCUUCGCAUUACCGUUGCGUAAUCUGAUUAUGUAACGGAAUCUGCGUGAGGACCGGAGUUCAAUCCUCCGAGUGUCCA